rnacentral:rRNA from 1 species
AUGCCUAUGAAUUAUUCACUUGCUAUUGAACCAUUUGAUGUUUGGGGAUUAAAUUACAUGGGACCUUUUCCUUCCUCCAAUGGGUAUACACAUAUUUUGGUUGCUGUUGAUUAUGUUACUAAAUGGGUGGAAGCUAUUCCAACCAGUAGUGUUGAUCACAACCCCUCUAUUAAAAUGCUUAAGGAAGUUAUUUUCCCAAGGUUUGGAGUCCCUAGAUAUUUAAUGACUGAUGGUGGUUCACAUUUUAUUCAUGGUGCUUUCCGUAAAGUGCUUGCCAAGUAUGAUGUUAACCAUAGAAUUGCUUAUCAUCCUCAGUCUAGUGGUCAAGUUGAACUUAGCAAUAGAGAAAUAAAAUUAAUCUUGCAAAAGACUGUCAAUAGGUCCAGGAAGAAUUGGUCUAAGAAAUUAGAUGAUGCACUUUGGGAUUAUAGAACAACAUAUAAAAAUCCCAUGGGUAUGUCUCCUUAUAAAAUGGUUUAUGGAAAAGCUUGUCAUUUGCCUCUUGAGUUAGAACAUAAAGCAUAUUGGGCAAUCAAAGAACUCAACUAUGAUUUCAAGCUUGCUGGUGAAAAGAGGUUAUUUGAUAUUAGUGUUGGGGAACAUAGUAAUUUUAAAAAAAUUCCUACGCACAUGCAUGAUCAUGGUGAUGCAUAG